ACAGGGUUCAGUGGCGGCGCCUGUAAUCCAAGCUACUGGGAGGCUGAGGCUGACGGAUUGCUUGAGUUUAGGGCUUCUGGACUUUGUUGAUCACGUCUCCGUGCUAGGUUCGGUAUCGAUAUGGUGCUCCUGGAAGAGCUCAGGAUCACCAGGUCGUCUAAGGAGGGGUGAACCGGCUCAGUUCAGAGCCC
ensembl:misc_RNA Metazoa_SRP Metazoan signal recognition particle RNA